AUGAUUGCACAGCUUGACUUCUAUACCGAGCGUUUGUCCGCUGGAUGGGUGAAGGAAACCUACUUCAGACCAGACGACAAAAAAAAGAAAGACACGUAUUUUACCGACCCUUCUAGUUCUGAGUAUCUCGUGUUCCGUACGAAGAAGGAUGCAACGAAAUACUUCUGGACUGGACAACGUCCUAAAGAUUCCUGGAAACCGACACAGAGUGUCACCAAGAAGUACAAAGACUUGCUUGUUACAGAUGCAGAUGAAAAAGACCUAGUUGGUCAGCAUG